UACGUAGGCCGCAAGCGUUGUUCGGAGUUACUGGGCGUAAAGGGUGUGUAGGCGGUUCUUUAAGUUUGGUGUGAAAUCUCCCGGCUCAACUGGGAGGGUGCGCCGAAUACUGAGGGACUAGAGUACGGGAGAGGAAAGUGGAAUUCCUGGUGUAGCGGUGAAAUGCGUAGAUAUCAGGAGGAACACCGGUGGUGUAAACGGCUCACUGGACCGUAACUGACGCUGAGACACGAAAGCGUGGGUAGCAAACAGG
rnacentral:rRNA from 1 species